UACGUAGGGGGCAAGCGUUGUCCGGAUUUAUUGGGCGUAAAGAGCGUGUAGGCGGCCAUGCAGGUCCGUUGUGAAAACUCGAGGCUCAACCUCGAGACGCCGGUGGAAACCGUGUGGCUAGAGUCCGGAAGAGGAGAGUGGAAUUCCUGGUGUAGCGGUGAAAUGUGUAGAGAUCGGGAGGAACACCGGUGGCGAAGGCGGGUCUCUGGGCAUUUCCUGACGCUGAGGCGCGAAAGCGUGGGGAGCAAACGGG
rnacentral:rRNA from 1 species